AGUUUAGAGAUUUGCUGGAAGAGCUAAUAGGUAGAGAUUAAUCGACGACUUCACCUUCGAUGGUCAGGCGGCCAUCAGGAGCAUGCCGACUAUACAACCGCAAAGAUACCCAUCCUCACGGCAUCUCAAGAUCCCUCCCCGCAGGGCAAUCUCAGAGAAAUAGCUAAGCCAAGGGCGAAAAGCUGUAGACGCAAGAAGCAAACCCAUAACAACUAGUCGCCUCAGAAAUUGAAGCCACCUGCCCAUA
rnacentral:misc_RNA from 1 species